AAAACCCGAAAAUUUCCAAAAAUGGAAAUUUUCUCCCCCGACCCCAAUUUCGCCUCCUCACCUUCGCCGGCCGAUUUCUUCCUCCUCCGGCCACCUUUUGCUUCGAUUCCAAAGGGAAUCCUGCUCUCCUCAGUCCCCUCUACACGUCUGUGGUGGUGAUUCGUUGUGGGAAGCACCGUAGACGACGCUACAAGGCCGAGAAGUUGCACGGUGGAGCUGAAAAUCGCCCAAAUUCGCCGACCUUGGUUCUCCCAACUCCGGCCACCAUAGCUCGAGUUCUUUGAGGGCUUUUCUAGCCCAGAAGACGUGGAUGCUACCCUCAAAACCUCUUGCAGCGAUUCGAUCUGUGGAGAUCGAAUUUUGGAAUUUUUGAAACUAGGGUUCUUCGGGUUUCAAACCUUGCGAGGUACUUGACGGUUUGAGUUGACGAGCGUUCGGAAUAUUGAUAUAUUCGACUUUUUAGAAGACGCAGCUGGAUUAGAGCGGGUAAUCUCACAGGUCAGGAGAAUCAGGGCAGUGAUCGUGCGGUUUAGAGUAUUAGUGUUAGAUUUACAACAUUUGUUUUUGUGAGGAGAAUUAUACUCAUUUGAGCUUACAAUUUGAUUUGGUGAGAGUGUGCUGUAAUAAGUAGCUUGAGGAUUUGGUUUAUGUAAUAUUAAGAGGUGUAAGGUGUGGUUGUUUCUGAGAGAAAAAUUCAGAACGUUAUUUGUAUUGUUAUUAGUCAUGUUCCGGAUUUGAAUCCUUAUUUCAAAAUUCGGGGUGUGACAAUCAAAAUCUAACUUGUUAUAU